GCCUCUUGAUUAAACCAUAAGAGGUCCAGCCUGCCCAGUGACAUUGUUCAACGGCCGCGGUAUCCUAACCGUGCGAAGGUAGCGUAAUCACUUGUCCUUUAAAUGAAGACUAGUAUGAAUGGCCCCACGAAAGCUAUACUGUCUCCUUUUUCUAAUCAGUUAAACUAAUCUCCCCGUGAAGAAGCGGGGAUAAACAUAUAAGACGAGAAGACCCUAUGGAGCUUCAAACAACUGAAACACUUGUAUAUCCUCCCUCACCUGCCAACAUUUAACCUCACAUUUUGUUUCUAGUUUUAGGUUGGGGUGACCACGGAGAAAAAACCAACCUCCACGACGAAAGAGACAUCUCUAAACAAAAAGCUACAUCUUUAUGUAUUAACACAUUAACCUUUAUUGACCCA
rnacentral:rRNA from 1 species